GUCUGACUGGCUCAGUUGGAAGAGCAUGCAACUUUUGAUCUCAGGGUUGUGAGUUCGAGCCCCAUGUUGGGUG
rnacentral:tRNA from 1 species